rnacentral:misc_RNA from 1 species
CGCAUCUUGCGCUCUGUGGUAUUCCGCAGAGCAUGCCUGUUUGAGUGUCACGUAAACCCUCACCCUCGAGAUUUUAACCGAUCUCCCGUGGUGGAUUUGGACUGUGCCGUAGUUGGCUCGUCUUGAAAUGCAUUAGCUUGCGCUUUUAGAGUGCCGGGCACCGGUGUGAUAAUUAUCUGCGCCAUCGCCUUGCGCCUCUUCAGUGGUGCUGCUUACAGUCGUCCUUGCGGACAAUUUUUUAACGCUUUGGCCUCAAAUCAGGUAGGACUACCCGCUGAACUUAA